rnacentral:rRNA from 1 species
UACGUAGGGCGCAAGCGUUGUCCGGAAUUAUUGGGCGUAAAGAGCUCGUAGGCGGCCUGUUGCGUCCGCUGUGAAAUCCUGGGGCUCAACCCCGGGCGUGCAGUGGAUACGGGCUGGCUAGAGGCAGGCAGGGGAGAACGGAAUUCCCGGUGUAGCGGUGAAAUGCGCAGAUAUCGGGAGGAACACCGGUGGCGAAGGCGGUUCUCUGGGCCUGUUCUGACGCUGAGGAGCGAAAGCAUGGGGAGCGAACAGG